UAUCUCUGUAGAGUCUGCAUAUCAAUAAGCGGAGGAAAAGAAACUAACAAGGAUUCCCUUAGUAACGGCGAGUGAAGCGGGAAGAGCUCAAAUCUGAAAUCUUCAAGGUUCUACCUUGACGAAUUGUAGUUUAAAGAAGUGUUUUCUGUUAGAUGAGUAGCAAAAGUUCCUUGGAAUGGGACAUCAUAGAGGGUGAGAAUCCCGUAUUUGGUUAUUCAUUCUAGCUUUGUGAUACACUUUCAAAGAGUCGGAUUGUUUGGGAAUGCAGUCCAAAAUGGGUGGUAAAUUUCAUCUAAAGCUAAAUAUUGGCGAGAGACCGAUAGCGAACAAGUACCGUGAGGGAAAGAUGAAAAGAACUUUGAAAAGAGAGUUAAACAGUACGUGAAAUUGUCAAAAGGGAAGCGUUUGACACCAGUGUUGUUUUUCCGAAAAUCAAUUACGAAUGGCUUGAUUUUGUGUUGUAUUGACCUUAUCAGCUUUCUGCACUUUUUUCGAGUCUUUCUUAAUGCACUUUUCGGUUAACAAGUCAACAUCAAUUUCUUUUGUUGUAAAAGAGUAUUCGGAAGGUGGCUUUCUUUUCGGAGAAAGUGUUUAUAGCCCUAUACUUCUACAAUCGGAGAGAUUGAGGUCUGCAGCGUAGAUCCUUCGGGGUUAGAUACACUUGUGCUAAGUUGUAGCUUUUCAUAGACAACUUGUUGACUAUGUUUAGUCAUGCGGCUUACUCGCUUAGUGCUAUUUUACCUACGCUUAGGAUGUUGACUGAUAUGUAGUCGU
rnacentral:rRNA from 1 species